GAACGAACGCUGGCGGCAGGCUUAACACAUGCAAGUCGAACGCGUGUAGCAAUACACGAGUGGCGCACGGGUGAGUAACGCGUGGAUAUCUGCCUUUUGGUUCGGAAUAACCCCGGGAAACUGGGGCUAAUACCGGAUGGUUCCUUCGGGAUAAAGAUUUAUCGCCAAAAGAUGAGUCCGCGUCCGAUUAGCUAGUUGGUGAGGUAAUGGCUCACCAAGGCGACGAUCGGUAGCUGGUCUGAGAGGACGAUCAGCCACACUGGGACUGAGACACGGCCCAGACUCCUACGGGAGGCAGCAGUGGGGAAUAUUGGACAAUGGGGGCAACCCUGAUCCAGCCAUGCCGCGUGAGUGAUGAAGGCCUUCGGGUUGUAAAGCUCUUUUGGCGGGGACGAUGAUGACGGUACCCGCAGAAUAAGCCCCGGCUAACUUCGUGCCAGCAGCCGCGGUAAGACGAAGGGGGCUAGCGUUGUUCGGAAUUACUGGGCGUAAAGCGCGUGUAGGCGGUUAUCCAAGUCGGGUGUGAAAGCCUUGAGCUCAACUCAAGAAAUGCAUUCGGUACUGGGUGACUAGAGGACCGGAGAGGAUAGUGGAAUUCCCAGUGUAGUGGUGAAAUACGUAGAGAUUGGGAAGAACACCAGUGGC
rnacentral:rRNA from 1 species